rnacentral:rRNA from 1 species
AUUGAACGCUGGCGGCAGGCCUAACACAUGCAAGUCGAGCGGAUGAAGGGAGCUUGCUCCUGGAUUCAGCGGCGGACGGGUGAGUAAUGCCUAGGAAUCUGCCUGGUAGUGGGGGAUAACGUCCGGAAACGGGCGCUAAUACCGCAUACGUCCUGAGGGAGAAAGUGGGGGAUCUUCGGACCUCACGCUAUCAGAUGAGCCUAGGUCGGAUUAGCUAGUUGGUGGGGUAAAGGCCUACCAAGGCGACGAUCCGUAACUGGUCUGAGAGGAUGAUCAGUCACAAUGGAACUGAGAAACGGUCCAGGCUCCUAAGGGAAGGAGCAGUGGGGAAUAUUGGGCCAUGGGCGAAAGCCUGAUCCAGCCAUGCCGCGUGUGUGAAGAAGGUCUUCGGAUUGUAAAGCACUUUAAGUUGGGAGGAAGGGCAGUAAGUUAAUACCUUGCUGUUUUGACGUUACCAACAGAAUAAGCACCGGCUAACUUCGUG